AAGGUAGCGUGAUAAUUUGCCCAUUAAUUGUGGGCUUGUAUGAAUGGAUAAACGAGAAAAUAGCUGUCUCCCUUUUAGAUAUAAAAAUUAGCAUUUAGGUGAAGAGACCUAAAUAAAAUUAGAGGACAAGAAGACCCCGUAGAGCUUAGUCCAUAAACUCUAUAAAUAUGAAUAAUAGUAUAUCAAAUUUAUAAUUAGUCACAAGACUUAGCUGGGGCGGCUAAGGAAAAUUCUAUCUUCCAAAUAUAAUUAUAAUCUUUAUAAUAACCUUCAAGGCCCAUAAGCCUUUAAAAAUAUGACCCUAAACUAGAAUAUAAAACAUAGCUACCUCGGGGAUAACAGAUUAAUCCUUCUUGAGAGUCCGCAUUGACAGAAGGGUUUGACACCUCGAUGUUGGCUUAGAGUACCCAAUAGAUUUGCAACAGUCUAUAUUUGGUAGGUUUGUUCAACCUUUAAAACUCUACGUGAUC
rnacentral:rRNA from 1 species